rnacentral:rRNA from 1 species
UGGGGAAUAUUGCACAAUGGGCGCAAGCCUGAUGCAGCCAUGCCGCGUGUGUGAAGAAGGCCUUCGGGUUGUAAAGCACUUUCAGCGAGGAGGAAGGGUAGUGUGUUAAUAGCACAUUGCAUUGACGUUACUCGCAGAAGAAGCACCGGCUAACUCCGUGCCAGCAGCCGCGGUAAUACGGAGGGUGCAAGCGUUAAUCGGAAUUACUGGGCGUAAAGCGCACGCAGGCGGGUUGUUAAAUCAGAUGUGAAAUCCCCGCGCUUAACGUGGGAACUGCAUUUGAAACUGGCAAGCUAGAGUCUUGUAGAGGGGGGUAGAAUUCCAGGUGUAGCGGUGAAAUGCGUAGAGAUCUGGAGGAAUACCGGUGGCGAAGGCGGCCCCCUGGACAAAGACUGACGCUCAGGUGCGAAAGCGUGGGGAGCAAACA